rnacentral:tRNA from 1 species
CAAAAUGUAGCUUAAUUAAAGCACCUCGCUUACACCGAGUAAACAUCUGUUAGACCCAGAUCAUUUUGA